rnacentral:rRNA from 1 species
UACGUAGGGUCCGAGCGUUGUCCGGAAUUACUGGGCGUAAAGAGCUCGUAGGUGGUUUGUCGCGUUGUUCGUGAAAACUCACAGCUCAACUGUGGGCGUGCGGGCGAUACGGGCAGACUGAGACUGCAGGGGAGACUGGAAUUCCUGGUGUAGCGGUGGAAUGCGCAGAUAUCAGGAGGAACACCGGUGGCGAAGGCGGGUCUCUGGGCAGUAACUGACGCUGAGGAGCGAAAGCGUGGGGAGCGAACAGG